rnacentral:rRNA from 1 species
UAGUGGCGAACGGGUGAGUAACACGUGGGCAAUCUGCCCUUCACUCUGGGACAAGCCCUGGAAACGGGGUCUAAUACCGGAUAACACUCCUGCCCGCAUGGGCGGGGGUUAAAAGCUCCGGCGGUGAAGGAUGAGCCCGCGGCCUAUCAGCUUGUUGGUGAGGUAGUGGCUCACCAAGGCGACGACGGGUAGCCGGCCUGAGAGGGCGACCGGCCACACUGGGACUGAGACACGGCCCAGACUCCUACGGGAGGCAGCAGUGGGGAAUAUUGCACAAUGGGCGAAAGCCUGAUGCAGCGACGCCGCGUGAGGGAUGACGGCCUUCGGGUUGUAAACCUCUUUCAGCAGGGAAGAAGCGAAAGUGACGGUACCUGCAGAAGAAGCGCCGGCUAACUACGUGCCAGCAGCCGCGGUAAUACGUAGGGCGCAAGCGUUGUCCGGAAUUAUUGGGCGUAAAGAGCUCGUAGGCGGCUUGUCACGUCGGGUGUGAAAGCCCGGGGCUUAAC